GACGAACGCUGGCGGCGUGCUUAACACAUGCAAGUCGAACGGAAAGGCCCUGCUUUUGUGCGGUGCUGGAGUGCCGAACGCGGGAGUGACACGUGAGUAACCUGCCCUUGUCUUUGGGAUAACUUCAGGAAACUCGGGUUAAUAUAGGAUAGGAGAUCCUGCAGCAGGGUGGGGGUUGGAUAGUUUCGGCGGUUGGGGAUGGACUCGCGGCUUAUCAGCUUGUUGGUGGGGUAGUGGCAUACCAAGGCUUUGACGGGUAGCCGGCCUGGGAGGGUGACCGGGCACAAUGGUACUGCGGGAGGGCCCAGAGUGCAACGGGGGGCAGUGGUGGGAAACAUUGCCCAGUGGGCCGACGCCGGAUGCAGCGACGUCGGGUGCGGAAUGACGGUUUGUUGGUAAAAAACCGCUUUCGCCUGUGACGACGCGUUAGUGACGGUAACGAAUAAAUAAGCACCGGCUAACUACGUG
rnacentral:rRNA from 1 species